GUCAGAGGGAGGGACGAGUAUUACCACCUCCACUUGACUGAAACGAAAAUGGGCAGUACCACUGCUCACAGAAAGUCCAAGGACCGAAGUUUAGAAGAGCAGACGUUCCUGUAAACACAAUGAAAGACACCAAGAUUUAGAUUAGUUACUGAUCUCCCUCAAGCGUUUCUUCCUCGGCCGGGGACUGGAUGCAAAUCCCCUUGCACCCCAUGUCUACUGCAGAUCAGAGGAUACAACCCGACUGCCUAUCAGCCACCAGUUCCCUAGAGUAGCUGAAUACAAUUUCAGAAUUAGGUCAUCGUUUCUACCCCAGCCAUGGGGGCCCUGCUAGCAUUUGUGCAGCAGAAGUGUCUAUGAUUGUGAAGCCAAGUGAGGGUGGAAAUUUAUUCUCAUUAUUGGUCCACUAGGGGCAAAUGCUGGCAGAGAAUUAUGGAGAUGCAGAGUCCUAAAACGCC